AUCAAAUAUAUCAGUUGCCGUUCCCUCUUUAUAGACAUUUCCUUUAUUCAUGACGAUAACAUG
rnacentral:sRNA from 1 species